GCUUAUCAUCUCAUUGUGAUGUUUUUAUCUCAUCAUGACAUUCACCGUGCCUACUCCUAGAGGGUGAAUAAACACAAUUGUGAAGUCAUGGAGUCUCUCACAUGACAUCCACAAUGCCUACUUGCAGAGGGUGGAUCCACCAUACUUAGAGGGUGGAACAAGGGUUGGAACCUCAAACUUCUUUCAUAGAGAAGAAUGCACAACAAGGGCUAAUACCUCAAACUUCUCUCACAGAGAAGAAUGCACAACAAGGGCUGAUACCUCAAACUUCUCUCACAGAGAAGAAUGCACAACAAGAGCUGAUACCUCAAAUUUCUCUCACAGAGAAGAAUGCAUAACAAAGGCUGAUACCUCAAACUUCUCUCACAGAGAAGAAUUCAUUAACCAAAAGAUGUGGCUUCCUCUGAAGCUGAAAAGUCAAGCUCCCUCUGAAGCUGAAAUGUCAAGCUUCCUCUUAAGCAGAUAUCAACCUUUUGACCUCUUCGUCCAAGGUUACUUCUGAUGAAGUGUCAGACUCCCUCAGAUUCUGAUAUCAACCUUUUGACCUCCUCGUCCAAAGUUGCCUUUGAUGGAUUGUCAAACUUCCUCUGAAUGUUGAUUCCUCCUCUUCGAAGAAAUGUCUUCAGCUACCAACUCAAUCUCAUGGCAGCAAGCAUCAAGUUCUUCCUUCCUUGAAUGCAAUCUCUUAUGCUUCUUGGUCCGUCGUGAAAGCAUUUCAAAGAGAUUAAUAAUAGUUCAUCUAGUAAGGCAUACAUGAUUCAUUAUCAAAGUUAUAGCAUGAAAUACUUAUCUCAUUUAAAUCAGAGUCUCUUCAAGUGUUGUAUUUAAGCGCUUUUUAGGUAUGCAUCAGACCCAGUGAACCUUCACUAGAGAUGAAUUGAAAUGCUCGAUAUAGUAUGAGCCAAGUCCUCGACUAUGGUGAAUGAGAGUUGACAUUGUAACUGCGUAAUUACUAUUACUUCCCCUUUUUCCAUGGGUCCUCUUAAGAUCACCUUUGCUCUUGUGUGGUUGUUCAAUUUUCAACACAGAGAUUCUCUGAUUAUUAAAGAAAAGAUUUUGCUAAGCUUCCAAACCCGAGUUUAAGUUUGCAAAGAUUAUAUGUACAUUAUAUAUUCCACAAACAACCACACGUAAAUGCACAACAGAUCAUUCACAGGUAUCGCAUGUAUAAGAACAACAUAUCACGCACCCAUCGUAUCAGCCUUCUUCCUUUGGAACAUUGAAUAAAUAACAAGAACUUAUGUAUCCUGCCACUGGAAGUGCUAUUAUCAAGGUUGUGACUAAUGACAAUGGCAUAAUAUCUAGAAGCCUUGGCAAGGAAGCCACAAUCGCUCACAUGUUGCUCCAUGUUACAAACCACAGCAUCCUUAGGAAUAGAUAUCAGAGGCAAGAUAUUCCCCACGGUCAGAUUUGCCUUCUUAUCGCAGUAAUUAAACUGGUUAGUAUACAUUCCCCAUAGUCAAAUUUGCCUUCUUAUCGCAGUAAAUAAAUUGGUCAAUAUACAUACCCUCGGCGGUGAUGAAUAGCUUAGUUUGCUGCUUGUAACGGGAGGGAUACCUUAAGUGUGCAGGGCCCUCUCGGAGAUGCAUGUGGGAUUUGAACAUGGAGCCUGCUCCCUUCCAACUCUCAUAACCGACUGCAAGGAGAAGAUAAACGGAUCAAUGACAUUCUUCGAUUCAUGUUCGUAUUUGGUAAUUUCGGCACUAGCAUAAGAUAGUCUUUUAUCUCAUGGAUUGAACACUUCCCAUGAUCUCAUUAACUCGUUCGAGUGUGACUGCAUAGCAUAGAGUGUGUGACCCUCUAUCACUGCAACUGGCGAUUGUGCAUCAUUCGAUUCCUCAACAUAGUUGAGUCUGAUGGCCCACAAAUCGGGCAGCAGUGUCCAUCUGUUGGAUUCCGAGUUGAAUGCCUCAUCCGAAGUGUGCACGCACGUGCACUAUCCAUCCUUGUAAGACCCUCCGAUUACAACAAGGUUGCCGUCCAUAACAAUCCGUGUGUAAUCGAUGUGGGACAAUAUCAUGACGGGUAGGCUUUCUGAUUCACCAGAUUCCUCCAGAUUCUGAAACCCGACAUCAUCGCUCUGGGUGUUAACAUCCUCGCUGCCUACCUCGGGGCCAUCGAGUCUGGAGAUGGAUAUGCGCAAAGUCAAGUUCACAUAUCAUGACCAUGGCCUACAGUGUUCUUGUCCGUUAUAAUGACACCUUCCUCCAACUUGCCGAAGUGGGAGAAGAGUGACUUGAGGGACUCGGUGGUGGUAACCCACCCAAGCCCCCACACGAAGAGCUUGCGCUGCGAAGGAUAUUUUCCCAACAUCCUUAGCCGCCACUGCUACUACUACUUCCACUUCCCCCAACCCACCGUUUUCUUCCUCUUUUCGCUUCUUCGCAUCCAUUAUUUCUCCCGCUCGUAUUUCUCAUGAAGACUUCUAUAUUUCUUAGGGGAUUGGUAGAAUGGAGAAAUAAAGCCACGACAACCUUGAGGUGGAUGAUCACUCCAAAGUUCGAUUGUAUACACAUCCGAUGAUUCCAGUUGUGUGCACCUGUAGAAAUAUAUUGUGUUCUCGUGCUUUCUAUCGUUUGCAGAUAGUAUGAAGUCAUCGUGAUUGGGGAUAUGAAUUGUUGGCAAUGUUUAGGGGUGUCGCUAUGACCAACAACCACUUUGAUCAAAGUAACCUAUGCUGCCCAAUGGUUUGGCCCCUUCCCGUUAAUAGGGAACCCACACAAAUAAUCCGCUUCACUAUAUUAUCACCACGAUUUCAAUAUUCUUCGUAUUGCAGCGGUCAGUGAUAAUAAUAUCAACCAUCUCCAAGUUAUCGAUUUGUCAAGCCAUCUCCAGGUUAUCGAUUUGCCAGACCAUCUCCAGGUUAUCGAUAUAAAUUUGUCUUUGAAUGAAGAAUUCACUAAUUUGACUUAGACAAAUCUGAUCACGAUCUACUUAACCGUGGCUCUGAUACCAUGUUAAAUUUUAGAUCAGAGAUGUAAGCAAACAUAAAUGUUAACUGGGUGCUCGUUUAACCACAGGCAACGACUCAAAUCUAUUGCCUUCCCAACUGUAGACGAUAUCUUGUUAUCGUCUCCCCCGAGCACAUUUCCUAUGUAAAGACCUACUUGUCUUGGUAUGUUAACGACUCUUCUAUUAUUCGAUCUGCUCUGUUAUUUACUUGGAAUGCUCUUGUGUUCAAUGAAUAAUCGAAUCGUAGAGUGAAUGAGGUCGCACCUCAUAUAUAUAUACAUGAGUGGUACCCUUUCACAAAGGGUCGGCCCUUAAGAACAUGACUCAUGCAUGAAUUAAUUAAAUUCAUUUCAUAUUUAAUAUACAAUUUGCUUCAUCAAGGUCGGCUCAUCUAGCAAAUAUAAAACAUAGUGUAUUAAUAGCUUUGGGAUAUCUCCCACUGCUAACCACAUACAUCAACAAUAUAGACUAAAUCACGCGAUUUGAUGUCUUUGCUAUUUUCGGCUCUGAGAGCCAUUUUGAAAGUCGUGGUUUUCGGCCUUAGAGGGUAUUUUCGGGUUAAACACCAAUUUUGAGAGUUUGAUGUUGAUUUCCCAUUUCGGUCUGAAACGUUAUUUUGUGAGCUUCAAUUGAAUUUUGGCCUUUUGAGCCGAUUUUAGAGUUUUGAGUUUGCUAUUUGGCCCUAGAGGCCGAAUUUGGCUUUAGUGGCAUUUACCCCUUUUUGGCCUGUGAGCCGAAUUUGAAAGCUUAACGCUUUCAGUCUUUUACCUUCUAUUUUGGCCUAAUAAGCCGUUUUCCAAGUUUGAUUUCUCUGGUGUGCUUUGAUCAUAGCACAAUCAUUUAUCCCUCUCUCCUAAUUGGCAGACUGCAACUACGGGGGUCCCUGUUUGAGGAAAACGGGGUGGGGUGUGCGAUAUGCACAACAGGUCCCAUUGGUCACACUCGUGGUCAUAAGUCACUUUCAUCUUUUGGUGACAAUGAGGGUGUGAUAUCCCAUUUUUUUUUUUUUUUUUUUAGGCCAAUAAUAAUUAUCCACAAACGGAUAACCCGUUAAGGUUAGAAAGCAUAAACUGAAAACUUGCUGGAAAAUGCAACCCUUCCACUUUCUGAUCACCAAGUGCCCAAUGUGGGAAGGUGAGAGCAUACGGUGUUGAGGGGAUCAUUAGCUUCAAAUAAAUGGAAACAAUACAAUGCUUGGGCGGCAAGCCAGCCCCUUCCGCUUAUCUAGCGGGAAUGCAAGAACUUGGCGGUGAACCAGCCAAGAGAAACAUACAGAGGCACAAAUCACUCAACCGCCAUAUUUCAGUGGGAGGACUGGAAUUACAAAACAAUCUCAACUCAAUCGCUUAUGCAGCGAGAGGACCAUUACACUCGGACAUCACUCAACCACUUAUGCAGUGGGAGGACUGAAUUACAAUUUACUUGAAAAUAGGCUGCAAGCCAGCCUCUUCCACUUUUCAGCGGGGUGAGAGUUACGAGCCAGAAUUGGUUAGUAGUACUACUACUUAACCUUACAAUAAUCAAGAUAAUGUGAGAAGAUAGUAAUGCUGAAUAUCCAAAUAAGAACAUGAAAUUUCUGCUAACAUCAAAAUCUGUAGGCUGGAAUUGCAAAACCAACAGCCUAUGGAUUCACUAAAACGCUCAUAACUCUCUCAUUACUCACCCAAUUCACCCAAAAUAUGUUCUAAACAAUUGCUAUACCCGCUACAAUGAAAACAAUCCCAAGGAAAGCCAUCGAAACACCCAUAUUUAUUUUGCAUGCUUCCCAAUGCAUUCACAAAACCCAACACCUAACCUGAGAAGUUUGAUUUUCAAUAUAAAAAUCCACACUCAAAAUAAGAUGCUAAAAACUUACAAUAUGCAUCGCCAGUGGUAGGAAGGAAGGAUGAGCCGGUACCUAGAAUGAUGGAAUUGCCUGGCCAAGUGGUGUGAGCAAAAUACACUUUCAGCAGUCCCACGACCAGCAACCAGAAAACACUCCAAUCUCAAAUAAAACACUCCACAAUCUGCAACUCACUCACCAACAGCACUGGGAAUACAUGGACACAGCUAGGUACUAUCUUGCAAGUACGAAACUGAGACUUAGCUAGGAAGCCACACUUCGAAGCUCAGAUUUUCAAUCGCCAAUUCGGCAACAUAAUGAUGUAAAUUGAUUUGAUGCCACAAAAUGUAGCCCAAGGCUCUUAUUUAUACCUUCAACUCCCCAAAACCAAAUGCAAAUGCACACAAAUUCGCCCAAAUUCACUUUUUUCAUUUGCAUUUCCUUUACCCAAGGAUGGUGCCAUACUUAGACAAGAAAUCAUGCCAAGUAAGUUAAGGACCACAACUUGACUUAGUAAACAUGUGAGGUGAAAUAAAAUAAUAUCUCCAUUAUCAAUUUGAUUUCCCUUUCUAGACAUAAAAUUCGCCUAGCACUUAGGAGAUAUUAUGCGCCAUUUCCAAAGUCAAUAAAUCAGUAGUAAAAAUAAUCAAAUUAAUUAAAUAUUAAACCUUAAUAUCACUUAUGACUCCAAUACUGAUUAUUGUCAAAACCAGAAUGAAGCUGAGCCAGGAAGACCACUGAACUGUUGCAGGAUCAGGACCCUGUCCACUGCCAAAAAUAGAAAUAUGCCAUACUGCCACUUACUAAAAAUAGUAAGUCAUAAACUACUGCUCCGAAAAGCAUGAUCUUUGCGCCCAAUGACAGAGCAUGGAGAGCUCAGUAGGACAGUAUCACCAAAAUGACCAACCCCUGACUUACUAAAAAUAGUAAAUUCUCGCCUCAUCAAUGCUUGACCCUCAUUUUUCAUUCCAUCUAGCCUACGGGUCUCAGGAAUAGGCUAAUGGACCACUGGAAGGACAUCAACGAGAAGGGGACAUUACAAAGGGUGAGGCUAGUGGCACUCCUAUUAGAUCAGACCCUAAUUUUUUUGUACCACACAAUGUUUCAAGUGCACAACCUUCACUUGAAGGUACAGGAUGGAAUAAAGAGAAGCAUGAACAAGCAAAGAUAGUAGCAUCAAACUUUUAGUUUUACAAUAAUCUACCUUUCAAUGUAGCAAACAACGUGUAUUGGGAAGGUUUGGUUAAUGCAUUAACAAUUGCGGGUAAGGGGUUUAAGGCCCCAACAGGUCAUGACUUCAGUGGGCCAUUGCUAGAGAAAGUUGUAAAAAAUACACAAGUUGUGGUUGAUGAUCAGAAAAAGUAUUGGAAGAGAAAAGGAUGCAACAUUUUAUCUGAUGGAUGGACAGAUGGACGGAAUAGGACUCUUCUCAACUUCUUGGUGGCUUCAAAUUGUGCAAUGGUAUUCCUAAAGUCUAUUGAUGCCUCAAAUGAAAUAAAAAAUUCAGAGACUUUGUGUAAUCUAUUGGAUGGGGUGGUUCGGGAAGUUGGAGUUGAGAAUGUUGUCCAAAUUAUCACGGACAACGCAACUGCAUAUGUAUCUGCAGGUAGAAUGCUUAUGGAGAGGCAUCCUACGAUUACAUGGAGUCCUUGUGCUGCACAUUGCUUGGACUUGAUGCUAGAUGACAUUGGGAAGAUUGGAUGGGUGAAAAAGGUGGUUGAAGAUGCAAGAAGUGUCUCCAAAUUCAUCUACAACCAUACUUGGGUGCUUGCUUUGAUGAGAAAACACACAAAUGGCAAGGACCUUGUGCGGCCUGGAGUGACACGAUUUGCUAGCCACUUCAUCACUUUGUAGAGCAUUCUUAGUGCCAUUCCUCAUCUUAAGCAGAUGUUUGUGUCUGAUGCUUGGUUGGUGUCUGCAUACUCCAAAAGACCUGAAGCAGAGAAGAUUGUGAGCAUUGUUUUUGAUGAAGGGUUCACCAAAAGUGGAGAGGAGUUGACUGCGGUAAGUAACAAACACAAAAGUAAACUUUAUACAAUCUUGUCUAUUUGCUGAUUUUAUUUUUAGGGGUUAAUUUUGUACUAAUUGAAAAUGUGUUUUCAUUUUUUUUGGUGACAAAACCUUUGGUAAGGGUUCUUCGUAUGGUGGAUGGAGAGGACAUGCCAAUGGGUUUCAUUUAUGAGGCCAUGGAUAGGGCCAAAGAGGCCAUUUCACAUUACUAUCGUGGAAAUACAAGAAAAUGUGAAAUCCUUUGGCGCAUCAUUGAUCGUAGGUGGACAAACCAACUCCACCAACCGAUACAUGCCUUCGCCUACUUUUUGAACCCGAAAUUCUACUUCUUUGAUUCAUUUAGGGUUGCUGAGGAGGUCAUGGCAGGUGUUAUUGCAUGCAUUGAUAAGAUGGCACCUGAUCUUGAGUUGAGAGACAGGGUUCUUGAUGAGCUGGAGAUCUACAAGAGUGCAGAGGGGAGACUCUUCUCAUCACAACUAGCAAUUGAUAGGAAAGGACAACAACAACAACCAGAUUUAUGGUGGGAGAAUUAUGGUGCUGGCACGCCUAAUCUUCAAAAGAUAGCCGUUUGUGUUUUGUCUUAGCCAUGCAGUGCUUCUGGGUGUGAACGAAAUUGGAGUGUAUUUGAGAGCAUUCACACAAAGAAGAGAAAUAGAUUGACACAAAAAUGGCUCAAUGAUCUUGUCUUUGUUCAGUACAACCUUCGCCUUCGAGUUAGAUAGGUGGAGGGUGUUUCACAUGAGGCCAUUGACUUGGAUGAAAUUGAUCCAUAUGGUGAUUGGACCGUGAAUGAACAAAAUGAUGGUGACGAUGUCCUCCUUACCGAAGAAGAAAUUGCAGAAAUAGAGAGAGGAGCAACACAAGAAGCAGAAGGAGCAAGAUUGGAUGAAAUGGAGGAUGAAGAUGAGGACUUUGACUUUGAAGAAGAAUCAUCUCACCAUUUAGAUACCACAACACCCACUACUACUACUUCUAGCUUAAGGCUUGAAAAAUUGAGCUAUAUUAGGAGAAAUACAAAGAGGAAGAUGUAGUCUUCUCUUUAGUUUGUUCAUUGUUGUUUUUCACAUUUGGAGUUGGACAUAUCAUUAUAUGUAAUUUUGUAAACAUUUAUAAACUUA